GGAGGGUGCGAGCGUUAAUCGGAAUUACUGGGCGUAAAGCGCGCGUAGGCGGCCUGAUCAGUCGGAUGUGAAAGCCCUGGGCUUAACCUGGGAAUUGCACUCGAUACUGUCGGGCUAGAGUAUGGGAGAGGGAAGUGGGAUUUCCGGUGUAGCGGUGAAAUGCGUAGAUAUCGGAAGGAACACCAGUGGCGAAGGCGACUUCCUGGCCCAAUACUGACGCUCAGGUGCGAAAGCGUGGGUAGCGAACAGGAUUAGAUACCCUGGUAGUCCACGCCGUAAACGAUGAGAACUAGAUGUCGGGAGGAUUUACCUCUCGGUGUCGCAGCUAACGCGUUAAGUUCUCCGCCUGGGGAGUACGCCGGCAACGGUA
rnacentral:rRNA from 1 species